rnacentral:lncRNA from 1 species
GUGUGGAAAAGGCCGCCCAGCAAAUACCAACAUCAACUGCCCCACAACCAGAGAAAGGUUUCAGGAGAGGCAGAUCUCUGACCUAAUCCUCACCCUCUGACAGCCAGCAGGUGCUGGCUUCCAGAAACAGAAUACCAGAAGAAGGGAAAAUUUUACUGCUCUGCAGAAAAGGAUCGGUCAUUAGGCUUGUUUCAGAUCCUAUGCUCCUGACUUUGUUUCUUAAGCUUCUUCUUGCACUUACUCAGCUAAGUGCAAGGAGCCUGUGAAGCAGUUUGCUUGAAAUAAGUUGUAUGAGCAAUUAUCAUAGUUGUUGAAGAGCAAAAGUAAAUAAAGUAUGAAAAGUGACAUUUGUGCGUUGUGCUAAUGUCUAUUUUUUUGCAUAUAUUAAGAAUCUUUGACAUUUUAGAUACAAACUGAUGGAUUUGUUUAUCAAGUCUCGUGUGGACUGAAUAUUUCAUUAAUACCUUGAUUGGGCUUUAAUUAGAUGCUGCAUUAGUCACCUGGUUACAGUUUAUUUAGUCGGACACAUAUCCAUUUAGCAUACGAACUACAACAUAUUCUAGCUUACAAUUUGUGUUGCAUAGCAACCGCAGAAUGAUUUUUUCAUGGUCUUGGAACUAAAAGUUGACACAGGUAACAACGGGCUGAAUGACACUGAUUCAUUGUAAAGAGCCACAUCUAAAAGCACAGAGGCAGAAUAGGGUUGUGUCGUUUUUUUUCAAGGAUUGCGCUUGAGCUGCGAGCUGAUGUAAAACACUCCAGUUCCAUCUGCCGUUGUCUACAUUGCUUUAACCCUGCUAAAUGUAACAUCAUGAGUUUUCAGAGAUCUUAUAACUUCUGUAAGUGUUCCUCUCCCUUCAGAUACUUCAGUCUAUAUGGAUAAAGAGAAGAAUUGUUUCAGAAGUAUGAAAAUACCGUUGUUAUUAAUUUUAUGAAAACUUUUUUGGUUUCAGUGUGACAGAGAGGCAUCAUCAAGGUAUGUGAUUAAUCUGAUGUGUGAUUAUCAGGUGGAACAUCUAUACAGUACAAACCAGGAAUACAUUGUGUAAAUAUCAGACUAGACGUGAUUUGC